GAUGAACGCUGGCGGCGUGCCUAAUACAUGCAAGUCGAGCGAACAGAUGAGGAGCUUGCUCCUCUGACGUUAGCGGCGGACGGGUGAGUAACACGUGGAUAACCUACCUAUAAGACUGGGAUAACUUCGGGAAACCGUAGCUAAUACCGGAUAAUAUAUUGAACCGCGUGGUUCAAUAGUGAAAGACGGUUUUGCUGUCACUUAUAGAUGGAUCCGCGCCGCAUUAGCUAGUUGGUAAGGUAACGGCUUACCAAGGCGACGAUGCGUAGCCGACCUGAGAGGGUGAUCGGCCAGACUGGAACUGAGAAACGGUCCAGACUCCUACGGGAGGCAGCAGUAGGGAAUCUUACGCAAUGGGCGAAAGCCUGACGGAGCAACGCCGCGUGAGUGAUGAAGGUCUUCGGAUCGGAAAACUCUGUUAGUAGGGAAGAACAAAUGUGUAAGUAACUAUGCACGUCUUGACGGUACCUAAUCAGAAAGCCACGGCUAACUACGUG
rnacentral:rRNA from 1 species